rnacentral:misc_RNA from 1 species
CUACUCCCGAUGGGGACUCAAAUGCUUGUUUGGUUGGCCAUCCUUCGGAUCCAAGAGAAUAAGAAUGCUUUGGAAGACCAGGAGACGUGGAAUGACAAAUCCUUGCUCUGGGAGCGGAGGUCCGGAUCUUAUAUAUGUCUUUAUGAUCGAUGGCAAGAGAUGCGUAGCUUGAGGGCUUAGAUGCCGCUUCGUACCUGGGGUGGCAAACGAGAACAAUAAUUGGAUCACGCGACCAACCAUAGGAGGAAAAGAAAGCAGCCUCUCUAAACUUCUUACAGGACGUAGUAACUACCUACCCUAAUG